rnacentral:tRNA from 1 species
GGAUUGUGGCUCAAUGGUAGAGCACUUGCCUAGCACGUGUGAGGCACUGGGUUCAAUUCUCAGCACCA